rnacentral:rRNA from 1 species
AUUGAACGCUGGCGGCAGGCCUAACACAUGCAAGUCGAACGAGUGGCGAGCGGGUGAGGACUGUCUAGGAAACUGCCCGAAGGCGGGGGAUAACUACGGGAGACGCUAUCGAAUACCGCAUACCAUCGGAUGUGGCCAGGUGGGAUUAGCUAGUAGGUGGGGGAACGGCUCACCCAGGCGACGAUCCCUAGCUGGGCUGAGAGGAUGACCAGCCCCACUGGGACUGCGACACGGGCCAGACUCCUACGGGAGGCAGCCGUGGGGAAGUUUCGACAAUGGGCGAAAGCCUGAUGCAGCCACGCCGCGGGUAUGAAGAAGGCUUUCGGGUUGUAAAGCACUUUCAGCGAGGCAGCGUUACUCGCCGAGGAAGCACCGGCUAACUCCGUGCCAGCCGCCGCGGUAAUAC